ncrna:unclassified sequences Hairpin-meta2 ribozyme sequence
UAAACGAGUUAUUGUUGCUCGGUGUUGUGUGUGAUACCUGGAAUUGGGUAGUGGCAUCCAGAGUGGUUGGUAGACUGCAUCCAUAGGCAUAGACCUAGGCGAGGGGAAACCCAGAGGAGCUCCUAGCUGAGUACGUCGCACACCAACGUGGCCAAUCCGGAGAAUGGGGUGAAACUCCUCUGAAAUACGGUGUUGCCUUCAUAUCACACGAAGCACAAACAAACUGAAACACUUUGGGUGUUGUCGACUCAGAGGCACAUUAAGUUUGA